UACGUAGGGUGCAAGCGUUAAUCGGAAUUACUGGGCGUAAAGCGUGCGCAGGCGGUUUUGUAAGACAGAGGUGAAAUCCCCGGGCUCAACCUGGGAACUGCCUUUGUGACUGCAAGGCUUGAGUGCGGCAGAGGGGGAUGGAAUUCCGCGUGUAGCAGUGAAAUGCGUAGAUAUCUGGAGGAACACCGGUGGCGAAGGCGGCAUCCUGGACCGGCAUUGACGCUGAGGCGCGAAAGCCAGGGGAGCAAACGGG
rnacentral:rRNA from 1 species